rnacentral:misc_RNA from 1 species
AAAUCCGAGAAUUUCACCUCCAACAAUGAAAUACGAAUACCCCCAACUGUCCCUAUUAAUCAUUACUUUCAGUCGCAAACCAACAAAAUAGACGAAAAGUCCUAUCUUAUUAUUCCAUGCUAAUAUAUUCAACGGCAUAAGCCUGCUUUAAACACUCUAAUUUUUUCACAGUAAACGAUGGUUAUCCCCAUCCCGAUAACUUAAUACCAAGAAGGUUCUCACCAAGGAUGGCGAGAGGGACAGAGCUCACACACAGAGUGAGUGGCCCGUUCCUCCUACCAGAAAUCCAACUACGAGCUUUUUAACUGCAACAACUUUAAUAUACGCUAUUGGAGCUGGAAUUACCGC